rnacentral:lncRNA from 1 species
UGACUCUGUUGGGACUAGCAGUGUGCUCCUAGGCAAGUUACUUAACCUCUCUGACUUCUGGUUUCAUUUUAAGACCAGAAAGGUGAUUUGUCUAUGGGAUAAGGUUGUGGGGAAAUGUAGAGGAAUUUAUGAUACUUGUGAAAGUCUGUUAAAGUUAAUAGGACUUCUCAUUCUUGACACACCGCCACCGUGAGAGUUAACAGAUUGUGACAAUUUGAGUAAGAAACCUCCAACUAAUUUGGAUCAGCAUAGUUCUGGGUGUGCCUGAAGGGAUUUACUAAAGACAGAAGACCCACCCUGGGUGUGAGUGGCACCAGCCAAUAGACUUGUAGCCAGAAUGGAAUAAAAGGGAAAUGGAGAAGGAAGGCUCGCUUGUGUUUCUUCAGAGGAGCUCCAGUCUUCACCGUGAAUGUGAUCUCCUGGCUUCCAGCACAGACUCAUCAGUCUCCUGAUAUGCUCUCAUAGGACGCUACAGUGAGCUCCAGGCCUUCAACCUUUGACUGGAUUCUUCAGAUCUCCAGCAUGCAGAUAGCCCUUUUGUGCUUUUCCAUACCUGACUCUGCAGGUGGCCAUUGAUCAGGAAAGCUAUGACAGCACAACUAAAAACACUCAUGAAAGAGCACCUCCAGAACUAUUUCAGAAAGUGGCAAGAAUGGUGAGUGUGUUCAAAGUGAAGGGGGCAUAUUUUGGGGGGAUUAAUGGUAAUGUGACUUUUACUGUAAUACUUUGGAAGAAUUUUUAAACAUUCACCAUAAUUUUCAAUCGCACCAUAUAUACUUGGCCACCUUAACUAGGUGUCUAACAGGCCUUCAGCUCCUUUGAAAGGCAUGUGUCCUGAAAUAGUGUCCUCCUAUAACAGUCUCCCUGAGUGUGUGUUUAUAUCUAUCCAUAGUCAUUUGCACCUGUUGUAAGUUUUGUUAUUUGUAAUCUUAAGUUGGUGAACAGUGUGGUGGUAGCAGUGGUUUUAAGGAGUCAUUUAGUGACCUAGGGUCAGUAGGCCCUGGC